rnacentral:tRNA from 1 species
GGGGAUUUAGCUCAGUGGUAGAGCGCUUGCCUAGCAAGCGAAGGGCCCUGGGUUCGGUCCCCAGCUCCG